rfam:Ixodes scapularis strain Wikel colony gcontig_1108378796930, whole genome shotgun sequence.
UUCUGGGAGGAUUGACAUAUUGAGAGCUUUUUCUUGAUUCAGUGCAUGGUGGUGCGUGGCCUUUCUUAGUUGGUGGAGCGACUUGUCCGGUUAACUCCGAUAACGAACGAGACUCUAGCCUAUUAAAUAAAUGCGUGGUUCUCUGCACCUUGCACCCUUCUUAGAGGGACAAGCGGCUCCUAGCCGCACGAAACAGAGCAAUAACAAGUCUGUGAUGCCCUCAGAU